rnacentral:lncRNA from 1 species
UUCGUCAUUGACCACAUGGACGCAAACAAGGCAGGGCGCUAUCAGUGCCAAUAUAGGAUAGGGCACUACAGGUUCCGGUACAGUGACACCCUGGAGCUGGUAGUGACAGCUCCAUCCACCAAGAUUACACGACGCAGAACUUGAUCCGCAUGGCCGUGGCAGGACUGGUCCUCGUGGCUCUCUUGGCCAUACUGGUUGAAAAUUGGCACAGCCAUACGGCACUGAACAAGGAAGCCUC